GGAGGUCCAGGUGGGAGACGCCGCGCCCCGCACCGAGCAAACGUAUUGGCAACCAAAUCAUGUCAGCGUUGGCUUUGCGGAGAAUCCAGACUUGCUUAAAAAGAAAGAAGAAAAAAAAAGCAUUCAAGACUAAUAAAGGACUAUGCGCAGUAGCUCAUGCCUGUAAUCCCGGCACUUUGGAGGCUGAGGCGGGAAGAUCGCUUGAGCACAGCAUUUGAGACCAGCCUGGGCAACAUGGCAAAACCCCAUCCUUACAAAAAAUACGAAAAUUAGUUGCACGUGAUGGGGUGUGCCUGUAGUCCCAGCUACUCAGAAGGCUGAGGGAGGAGGACUGAUUGAGCCCAUGAGGUUGAGGCUGCAGUGAGCUGAGAUUGUGCCACUGCACUCCAGCCUGGAUGACAGAGUGAGAACCUGUCAAAAAGAGGAAAGAAAGAAAGAGAAAGAAAGAAAGAAAGAAAAGAAAAGAAAAGAAAAGAAAAGAAAAGAAAGAAAAAGAGAAAGAGAAAGAAAGAAAGAAAAAAGGAAAGAAAGAAAGAAAGAAAAAGAAAGAAAGAAAGAAAGAAAAAGAAAGAAAGAAAGAAAGAAAGAAAGAAAGAAAGAAAGAAAGAGAAAGAAAGAAAGAAAGAAAGAAAAGAAAGAAAGAAAAACGACUAAGUGGGAAGGCAAGAAGAAUUAGGAAUGCUGGACACUACUGCACUUGCCAUGUUUUCAAGAAUGUCACCGUGCAGACCAGUGAUUCCGCCUCGCAGGAUGACAUAUGGCCCUCGGACCAGGCGACACAGUGGAGAUGCGCAUGCCAGCCUCGUGAAAUCAUGGAGGUUCAAGGGGCAAAGUGUUCACAUGCCUAAUGAGUGUUGAUCAGGUGGUAAGACACCCACAAUAGGAAGGGUAUUGAUUAUUCCACGUGCUGAGCUUUUCUUUAGAUUCAGCAGACACAGAUGAAAAUAAGGAACAUAAAGGAAGCAUUCUUCAGAAUCUCUUGAUACCUUGACUGUUUGUGUCACACACAGUGUUCCCCAAAUCCCAGCUUCAUCAUAAAGACUUCCUGGGCUGAGGAAGGAGCUGAGGGCUUCCCUUUUUAACUCUCUAAAGCUCAUAAUCUAUAAUCACAUUUUUUUAUGAGCAGAAUUGUGCUCCAGUCCAAUUCAUAUGUUAAACUUCUAAACCCCAGUACCAGAAAAUGUGACAGUAUUUGGAGAUGAGGUCUCUACAGUGCAGUCAAGUUAAAAUUAGGUGACCAGGGUGGGCCCUAGUGCAGUAUGACUGGUGUCCUUAUAAGAAGGGGAUAUUUGGACAUAGAGACCCACACAAAGGGAAGAUGAUUUAACAAGACAGAGACAAAAUGGCCAUCUCCAUAAGGAGAGAGGCCUUAGAGGGAACCAAUCCUCCAACACCUUGAUCUUGGACUUGCAGCCUCCAGAACUGUGAAACAAUACAUUUCUGCUGUUUAACUCCCCCAGUCUGUUGUACUUUGUCAUGGCUGCCCUAGCCAAGCAAUACUACACUGUAUAAUAAUCCCUGCUCUUCAACCUUCAAAUGCAUAUAACCUGUACAAAUACCUCGCUCAUCUUGUAUUGGGUGAUCUUGUGAAAUAAACUCAUGACCAUUUUAGAUAAUAAAUUUUUUAUAGGAUAGAUCCUAGGGAUAAAUAAUUUUUUGGCUACAGCCUCUAACAGAAUCAUCUAUGAUUACAGUCGUUAAUAAUUGCUUUUAUACUACCAACUGCAAAGAGGAUGUUGAGUAUCAAUGCUUUAACAGAAAUCACCACCUGCAUGAGGAAAAGGUAUGACAUGAAGCAUGGAUAACUCACACCUGGGCAGCUCCCAACACAGCACACACACACAGGCAAAGAGGCAGCACAGGGCUGGCUGGUCAUUUACCACGUUCCGUAAAUGUGAAUUCUGUGCGGCAGCAGCAUCUCCUGGGGACUGUAAUGUGGCCAUUUUAAUGCAAAAUUAAUUGUCAAAUAUAAGACUGCAGCGGCCUUCUCCCGAGUGAUUACCUCACCCUCCAGCAAGUCAUCUUCACUCUUGUCAUCGAUGCUCCCUACCUUGUUAGCAAUAUUCAAAUGAUCACAAAUGACUUCAGGAUCUCACACACAAAACGCAACACCUCCUGGUCAGCUCACACCCAUUCUAGAAUUUGUUCUUACUCACUUAUUUCUACAACAGGAAGGGAAUCAUUUCUGGAAUGUGUGUUAUUUCUGCAUUGUCAUUGUCAUCAUCAUAAUCAUCAUAAGAUGACACUUGUGUACAUUUGCCACUUGCUUCAAUUUUAGACUGAAUUCUGGGCAUAAGUCACAUUAAAAAAUGUGUCUCUAAUAUUAUAGCAAUAAAGUCC
ensembl:lncRNA novel transcript